UCUUAUGAAUAAGCAAAGAAAGUGAUUUCUUGAGAUGCAGUCUACUCUUGGUGAAGAUGUUGUGAA
rnacentral:pre_miRNA from 3 species